rnacentral:lncRNA from 1 species
CUAAGGAAUCCGACGAGAUCACGAGAUUCGUGAUAGAGGAUGCCUUUGCGGCCUGUGUUCGUUUGUGAUGGACUAGUUGGAGCACCCCUGCAGGGUUUAAUCUUUCGGAAAGCCGUGCCCGCGGUUAUGUGGCAGCUUGGAAUAUUUUGUUAACAUCCGGUAUUAGAAAACUUAAACAAAAACUAAUAAAACAGGCCAACUGUGUGAGUAACCGUGACUGUCCCUUCGAAGAUCUCUCUUCGAUCGGGAACACGGUGGGGUUAUGAAUGCCGUAGGUAGGUGUUCAGGAUCACUUCCUGAUCAAAUAGCCACGAUCGUUAGUAUAGAACACUGUCACUUCUCUUUCGCGUAAGCUAGCCACUUGUUCAAUCUUAGGAUGCAACAACCUGAAACACUUCACCCCUUCCUUACCCAAUAACAUGACUAGUUCUGGCACCAAGGUCUUAGAUUGCUGAGUCCCCGUGGCUCACGGAUUCCUCCGAAACUUCCAGCAGGUACAGGUACCCCAGAGGCAGAGGAUCCCG